rnacentral:lncRNA from 1 species
UUCAGGAGGAUGUCACAGUCAAAUCUCAUGCUUAGUGGAUUCAUCACCAUGUGUGGGGGCAGAAACUACUUCCACUCUUACCUUCCAUACUGCAUAACUGCCAGGAGCUCAACAAUCACUGUAUGUCAUAAAAACACAGAGAAAUUGUUCACAAUGAUGGAAUGACAACCCGUCAUAACCAAUAGACAACUUCUGCCUCACACUUAAGGCCCCAAAGGAACAAGAAUAAAAGCAAUACUUAGAUUAUCAGGAACUACAAUGCCAAUGAAGGAAUGACAACCAUCAUUGUUGUCAACAACAUGUCAACAACAUCAACAAAUAGAAAGCAUUCCUCCAUUCAUCACUCCUUCUGGGAAGAAGUAGACUAAGAGGUAAGAAGCAACUAAUUUUUCAUGGGAUUUGAAACUAAGUAGGUGAAUCUGAAGUCUGCGCUGCUUCCAUUCCAUCCCAUUGUCUCUUCUGAGGGAGAAAGCUUCUAAGGGAGAAAGCCUUUGGGGCUUGGAACAAAAGAAGCCAGAGUCUUUAGAGUACACACUCCGUACUUCCAUUAAAUAAAUUUCAACAACAGGUCAAAGCAUGUAUCUUGCAACCUUCUUUGAAUAAGGCUCAGUGCAAAGCUGGGGCCAGUGACCUUGACCUUCCUUCAUCCCUAUCUAUCAAGGAUUUUUUGUGAGCAUAAGAGGCAGCAACUUUACUUGUAUUUCAUUUCAUAGCUUAAUUAUAUCUACAUGCAAUUAGAAAACAUAUGGUAAGGCAUAUUUGUGAAGGUCACAAAAUCUAGUAGAGCUGGAAUGCCAGGAUUUGAUUCCAACUUCUGCCACUUACUAACUGCGGAACCUUAGGCAAGUCACUGAACCCCUAAGUUUCCUCAGCUGUAAAACAAUAAUAAACAGAGUCUACAGGUCACAGAUUUCUAUGAGAAUUAAAUUAGUUAACAAAAUAAAGCACUAAGAACUGUGCCUGGUACAUAAAAUAUACUGCAUGAGGGUUAGCUAUCACCACAAUAAGUAGGCAAGUUACCAACACCUUAAACGCUGAGUUAGAACAAAUCUAAAAACUCUAUGCUGGCCAGGCGCGAUGGCUCACACCUGUAAUCCCAGCACUUUGGGAGGCCAAGGUGGGCAGAUCACCUGAGGUCAGGAGUUCUAGACCAGCCUGGCCAACAUGGUGCAACCCCAUCUCUACUAAAAAUACAAAAAUUAGCAGGGUGUGGUGGUGGGCGCCCGUAAUCCCAGUUACUCAGGAGGCAGAGGCAGGAGAAUCGCUUGAGCCCACAAGGCAGAGGUUGCAGUGAGCUGAGAUCACACUACGGCACUCCAGCCUAGGCAACAGACAGAGCAAAACUCCAUCUCAAAAAUAAAUUAACAAACAAACAAAAACUGUAUAUUUAAGACCUACCUUUACUUAUUGAAGGAGGCCACUUCAAAAUGGUAAUGCUCCUUUCCUGUCUAGGUUCCCCAUACUUAGGGUACCCCAGACCCACCAAACCACACAGUGCCAGGCCUCUUUGUCUCCUAUAAUCUAUUCCUCCUUAAAAACCCAGCUAGAGAUUUUCUCUUCUACCCUACCAAGUAAAGAAUGUGCCCGCUUUCCUUUGCAUGCCUAUCUCUUAGAAUAUUAAUCCCAUAAAUUAUAAUUUCCCCAAAGAGACACUGAUCUUCAAGGGUAUGACUG